rnacentral:rRNA from 1 species
GUAGGGAAUCUUCCGCAAUGGGCGAAAGCCUGACGGAGCAACGCCGCGUGAGUGAUGAAGGUCUUCGGAUCGUAAAACUCUGUUAUUAGGGAAGAACAAAUGUGUAAGUAACUAUGCACGUCUUGACGGUACCUAAUCAGAAAGCCACGGCUAACUACGUGCCAGCAGCCGCGGUAAUACGUAGGUGGCAAGCGUUAUCCGGAAUUAUUGGGCGUAAAGCGCGCGUAGGCGGUUUCUUAAGUCUGAUGUGAAAGCCCACGGCUCAACCGUGGAGGGUCAUUGGAAACUGGGAAACUUGAGUGCAGAAGAGGAAAGUGGAAUUCCAUGUGUAGCGGUGAAAUGCGCAGAGAUAUGGAGGAACACCAGUGGCGAAGGCGACUUUCUGGUCUGUAACUGACGCUGAUGUGCGAAAGCGUGGGGAUCAAACAGGAUUAGAAACCCUAGUAGUCC